rnacentral:rRNA from 1 species
GAGUUUGAUCAUGGCUCAGAUUGAACGCUGGCGGCAUGCCUUACACAUGCAAGUCGAACGGCAGCAUGAUCUAGCUUGCUAGAUUGAUGGCGAGUGGCGAACGGGUGAGUAAUACAUCGGAACGUGCCCUGUAGUGGGGAGUAACUAGUCGAAGAUUAGCUAAUACCGCAUACGACCUGAGGGUGGAAAGUGGGGGACCGGCCAAGGCCUCAUGCUAUAGGAGCGGCCGAUGUCUGAUUAGCUAGUUGGUGGGGUAAAGGGCCCACCAAGGCGACGAUCAGUAGCUGGUCUGAGAGGACGAUCAGCCACACUGGGACUGAGACACGGCCCAGACUCCUACGGGAGGCAGCAGUGGGGAAUUUUGGACAAUGGGCGAAAGCCUGAUCCAGCAAUGCCGCGUGUGCGAAGAAGGCCUCGG